GGCACGGUGGCACAGUGGUUAACACUGUUCCCUCGCACGAGGGAGGUUGCAGGUUUCAGUCCUGGCCGGGCCA
rnacentral:tRNA from 1 species